rnacentral:rRNA from 1 species
AUUGAACGCUGGCGGCAUGCCUUACGCAUGCAAGUCGAACGGCAGCACGGGAGCAAUCCUGGUGGCGAGUGGCGAACGGGUGAGUAAUAUAUCGGAACGUGCCCAGUCGUGGGGGAUAACGCAGCGAAAGCUGUGCUAAUACCGCAUACGAUCUCUGGAUGAAAGCGGGGGACUCGCAAGAGCCUCGCGCGAUUGGAGCGGCCGAUAUCAGAUUAGCUAGUUGGUGGGGUAAAAGCCCACCAAGGCGACGAUCUGUAGCUGGUCUGAGAGGACGACCAGCCACACUGGAACUGAGACACGGUCCAGACUCCUACGGGAGGCAGCAGUGGGGAAUUUUGGACAAUGGGCGCAAGCCUGAUCCAGCAAUGCCGCGUGCAGGAUGAAGGCCUUCGGGUUGUAAACUGCUUUUGUACGGAACGAAACGGUCCCUUCUAAUACAAGGGGCUAAUGACGGUACCGUAAGAAUAAGCACCGGCUAACUACGUGCCAGCAGCCGCGGUAAUACGUAGGGUGCGAGCGUUAAUCGGAAUUACUGGGCGUAAAGCGUGCGCAGGCGGUUAUAUAAGACAGAUGUGAAAUCCCCGGGCUCAACCUGGGACCUGCAUUUGUGACUGUAUAGCUAGAGUACGGUAGAGGGGGAUGGAAUUCCGCGUGUAGCAGUGAAAUGCGUAGAUAUGCGGAGGAACACCGAUGGCGAAGGCAAUCCCCUGGACCUGUACUGACGCUCAUGCACGAAAGCGUGGGGAGCAAACAGGAUUAGAUACCCUGGUAGUCCACGCCCUAAACGAUGUCAACUGGUUGUUGGGUCUUCACUGACUCAGUAACGAAGCUAACGCGUGAAGUUGACCGCCUGGGGAGUACGGCCGCAAGGUUG